CGCUGAUCGAUGGAAUGACCAGAUACCGAGUCCCACAUCUCGGUGGGGCAAGAGAGAGAGAGAGAGAGAGAGAGAGAGAGAGCAGCAACAACACCUCCAGCACCAAGGAAAUGGAGGAGAAACAUCUCAGAAGAAGCAGACAUGCCAAAUGUUUCAACAUCACAUGAACCCUAGUAACUCCUGCUGCAGUGUUUGUGCUCUGUCCUGGAGAAACAGAGUCUCUCUCUCUCUCUCUCUCUCUCUCUGCGUGAUGGACAAUGAAGGGUCAAAGGAGGUCAGACCUCUGCUCUGAAAGAUAAGUGUUCUUCUUCCAGAAGGAUGCAGAGGUCAGAAGUCACCAGGAUACCCACAAUUCCCUGCUGUAGAGCUCUGAGAGCGGAAGUUCCAUCAUUAUAUGGUUAAAAGCGAUU